UGGGUUUGACAUGUUCCUGACCGCCGUGGAAACACGGUUUUCCUUCGGGACACCAUCACAGGUGGUGCAUGGCUGUCGUCAGCUCGUGUCGUGAGAUGUUGGGUUAAGUCCCGCAACGAGCGCAACCCCCGUUCCAUGUUGCCAGCAUUCAGUUGGGGACUCAUGGGAGACUGCCGGUGAUAAGCCGGAGGAAGGUGGGGAUGACGUUUACCGACAGCU
rnacentral:misc_RNA from 1 species